UACGUAGGCAGCGAGCGUUGUUCGGAAUUACUGGGCGUAAAGUGUGCGCAGGCGGCAGAGCAAGUCGAGUGUGAAAGCCCCGGGCUUAACUUGGGAAUUGCGCUCGAAACUACUUUGCUGGAGUGUGGCAGAGGAAGGUGGAAUUCCACGUGUAGCGGUGAAAUGCGUAGAGAUGUGGAGGAACACCAAUGGCGAAGGCAGCCUUCUGGGCCAACACUGACGCUCAUGCACGAAAGCGUGGGGAGCAAACAGG
rnacentral:rRNA from 1 species